AGAAAAAAACUUGGAAUAACUAACUGCAUAAGUGGGCACACCACUAAACUAAUACUGAAGCCCCCUCUGAUGUUAUCACAUCACUAUCUGUUUGGAUAAGAGUUUAUCAGCUUGGCACAUCUUGAUGGGAAUAUUUUACCACUCUUUUUUGCAAAAAUGUUUCAGAUGCGAGGACAUCACCUGCACACAGCCCUCUUCAGGUCCCCCCAAAGCUUUUCUAUAGAAUUCAGCUUUCUAGCAAACCCCAGAAGGUUCCUUGCCAAAAUCAUCCAGAACUUGGAGCUAUUCAAGAUUCCCUCCAUCUUCACUAAAACCUGUGGGUGCUUCUAAUUUCUUAUGUGUGCAUCUUCAUUUGUUUUCCUCACAUAUCCACCCCCUGUAGAAUGCAAGGGAAGGCUGCACGGAAAGAAAAUGAGGAAGGAUGAAUUGAAGGAAAUAUUUUUUUUAAAUAUUGGAAUAUUCUUGAUCACUCAAGUGUCACUUCAAAGCGUCAUCAGCUGUGCUCAAAAGAUCUGUCCUUAUGUUAUAAUAAUAAGCAUAAUAUGUUUAUUUUAUAUUGUGCCUUUCCCGAGCUCAAUGAUGCUUCACAAUAACAGAGAAGAACAGUCAGAUUAUACAUAAUAAAUGGACAGUAGACAUUUGCCCAGUCCAAAAUGUUGAGAGAUUGCAGUUGCAUAUUGCAUUACAAUCGAAAUCAAACAGACACUAUGACAGAAACAAACACUAUUUACAGACACCAUAGAAGGUGGGCAAAAUAAUAAUGGUACGUAAGGAUACAUUAUGACUGUAAGUUAUGUAAAAUGUUUAAGAAAAAGUGUGGUUGUUGUCCUAAGAGCCAGGGGAAGAGAGUUCCAUAGCUUAGGGGCUAUAAUGGAGAAAGACCUACUGCCCUACAAAAAGGCAAAGCGCAGUAACUACACAUUUGGUCAAAAAUGAGUUAAGACUUGUAAUGGGCUUUAUGACAUGUGUUCUG